rnacentral:rRNA from 2 species
GAAGGGCGUUUGGUGAAUGCCUUGGCAGUAAGAGGCGAUGAAAGACGUGAUACUCUGCGAUAAGUCAUGGGGAGCUGAGAAUAAGCUUUGAUCCAUGAAUUUCUGAAUGGGGGAACCCACCUGAAAGUUCAUUAUAAUAGCUUCGGCUUUUUAUAAUGUUCUUAACCAGGUACUUUUUGACUGAAUACAUAGGUCUUAAAGAGCAAACCCGGGGAACUGAAACAUCUAAGUACCCGGAGGAAAGGACAUCAAUUGAUACUCCCCUAGUAGCGGCGAGCGAACGGGGACCAGCCAAGCCUUGAGAGUGAUUAGAACAUGUUGGGAAGCAUGGCCAUAGCGGGUGAUAGCCCCGUAUAAGAAGCUCGAUGGGAUGUAUUAAGUAGGGCGGAACACGUGAAAUUCUGUCUGAAGAUCGGAGGACCACCUUCGAAGGCUAAGUACUCCUUACUGACCGAUAGUGAACCAGUACCGUGAGGGAAAGGUGAAAAGCACCCCGACGAGGGGAGUGAAACAGUACCUGAAACCGAACGCCUACAAUCAGUCGGAGGCUCCUUGAGAGCUGACGGCGUACCUUUUGUAUAAUGGGUCAUCGACUUAGUGUAUCUAGCAAGCUUAAGCCGUUAGGUGUAGGCGCAGCGAAAGCGAGUCUUAAUAGGGCGACUGAGUUAGAUGCAUUAGACCCGAAACCGAGUGAUCUAGGCAUGGCCAGGUUGAAGGUGCAGUAACAUGCACUGGAGGACCGAACCCACAUCUGUUGAAAAAGAUCGGGAUGAGCUGUGCCUAGGGGUGAAAGGCCAAUCAAACUCGGAGAUAGCUGGUUCUCUGCGAAAUCUAUUUAGGUAGAGCGUCGUACGAAUACCCCGGGGGGUAGAGCACUGGAUGGGUAAUGGGGCCCCACAGGCUUACUGAUCCUAACCAAACUCCGAAUACCCGGGAGUAAUAUACGGCAGACACACUGCGGAUGCUAACGUCCGUAGUGAAGAGGGAAACAACCCUGACCUACAGCUAAGGCCCCUAAUUCAUGGCUAAGUGGGAAAGCAGGUGGGACGACCAAAACAACCAGGAGGUUGGCUUAGAAGCAGCCAUCCUUUAAAGAUAGCGUAACAGCUCACUGGUCUAAAUAAGUUGUCCUGCGGCGAAGAUGUAACGGGGCUCAAGCCAUGAGCCGAAGCUUAGGAUGCAUUUAUUGCAUGGUAGCAGAGCGUAGUGUGACAUAGGACCUUUCCUCUUUAGCAUUCUUCGGAAUGUCAUGGAGGAUUAGGUUCUUUCGAUGAAGCCGGCGCGUGAGCGAUCCGGUGGAGAGAUCACUAGUGAGAAUGAUGACAUGAGUAGCGACAAAGAGUGUGAGAGACACUCUCGCCGAAAGUCCAAGGGUUCCUGCUUAAAGCUAAUCUGAGCAGGGUAAGCCGACCCCUAAGGCGAGGCCGAAAGGCGUAGUCGAUGGGAAUCAGGUUAAUAUUCCUGAGCCAGGAGGAUGU